CACAGGCAGUGAGUUUGGUGACUUGCAAAGUACAUCCAUCCCCACCUCCUCACCUCCACCCAUGUCCUCUCACAGCAUGACCCCAUCGCAUCCCCAAGUUUAGGUCUGGAUCUGCACAGGCAGUGAAAGCACCUGCAAAUGUGAUCCUCUGUGCAUUUACAGUGCCACCCAUCCAUGUGAUAUGCUAAACGAUGAAAACAGUAGCACAUGAAGUUACACGCUGACUCUUGUCUGGAUUUGAAGCUGCUGGUUACACCCAGCCUUUGGUUUCCUGCGGUUUCAAAUGAAGGUUUUCUUUCUCCUCCUUAGGACAGCUCCUGGGCUUGUGCCAACCACGUAGUGCUGGACCCGCUCCCAUAUGCGUGUGGACUCACUUCCUUCAGUGCAGUACAUUUGGUCCUUCCUUGGCAUGCUGAUAUAAAUAAGGUCA